GGCUCAGAGACCUGCGUUGCCGCCCUGCUGGGGGACCAGCUGGAUCCCCUUCCCGAGGAGAGCCUGAGGCAGAAGCCCAAUCCCAACGCCGUGCGCUCCCUGGAAGCCGUGAUCCAGGCCCACAGGAAGUACUGGGUGGCCCUGCAGCGUUUCUCCUCCAAGCUCGGCUGCUCCUUCCUGGAAUUCCAGCGGGACCACGAGGCCGAUGAGGUGGAGACGGUGACGGCGCUGGCCUCGCUCUCCGUGGCCGUCCUGGGGGACAAGAGGUGAUGGAUCCUGCUCCAUUCCCUCGGGAUCCUGCUCCAUUCCCUCUGGAUCCUGCUCCAUUCCCUAGAGAUCCUGCUGCCUUUCAUUCCCUCUGGAUCCUGCUGCCCCUCGUUCCCUAUGGAUCCUGCUCCAUUCCCUAGGGAUCCUACUGCCCCUCAUUCCCUGAUGG